AUGGGAUUCUUCAUGGGUUCUUCAUGGGAUUCGUCAGGGGUUCCUCACGGGUUCCUCAUGGAAUUCCUCACGGGUUCCUCAUGGCUUCCUCGGGGAUUCCUCAUGGGUUUCUCAUGGGAUUCCUCAGGGAUUCCUCAGGGGUUCCUCAGGAAUUCCUCAGGGGUUCCUCAUGGAUUCCUCAUGGGCUCCUCAGGAAUUCCUCAGGGAUUCCUCACAGGUUCCUCAUGGGUACCUGAUGGGUUCCUCAGGGAUUUCUCAUGGAUUCCUCAUGGAAUUCUCAUGGGUUCCUCAGGAAUUCCUCACGGGUUCCUGAGGGGUUCCUCACGGGUUCCUGAGGGGUUCCUGAGAGAUUCCUCACGGAUUCCUCACGGGUUCCUCAGGGGUUCCUCACGGGUUCCUGAGGGGUUCCUGAGGGGUUCCUGACGGGUUCCUCACGGGUUCCUGAGGGGUUCCUGGUGGUUCUGGAGUGAGCAGGCCCCGGAGGAGCCGGGCAAUGGCUGCAGCAGAGGGCUUAGCUGCCCCAGUCCUGUUUCCAGGAAGUUUCCCUGCCGGCUCAGCAGGAUGUGCUGCAGUGACAUUUCAGUUGCCACGUUCCACGUUUUCCGUGCUGACUCUUCCGGAGUCUUUUCUUUUUUAUUUUUUUUUUUUAUGAAGAAACUUUUUAAUGAAGAUUUUUUUUAUUGAAGAAACUGCUUAGGAGUGAGCUGGGUUUGAGCAUCUCACGGGCUGCUGUUGUUUGUUCUAACUAGGAACUCUUGAUGUUUAUAUUUCCUUUUUUACUUUAAUUUUGAAGAUAUUACCUAAUUUUAUAAAUUUCCUAUCCCUGUGUUCAUUGAAGAACAUAAUAAAAAAAUUUUGCACAUUUGCUUCUUAACCCUGUCUUGGUCCUGUGUGGUUUUGGUGUGGUGACAUGGAAACUGUCCUUCCUGAAAAACCCAAUGUGAGGGGAAAAAAUGGAAUAUUUCACUGUCAGAUUUUUGGCAAAGCACCCAAAGAAUGUUCCAGAAAGAGGGAGAAUCAUUGACAGGCAAUCCCUGUUUUCAUCUGGAAUGCAGAACCAAAUGGGUGCUCAUAAAUGGAUAUUUAUUGUUUUUAAUAUUGCAUUUUAUGCUCUAAAUGUGCUUAUAGAAAAUCCUUCCAGUGGGGCCAGAAGCAACAAAACCAGAGCAGUGGGAUGGAAAAACUCCAUUAAUCAAUGGGUAUUUGAAUUAUUAUUAUUAUUAAUAUUAAUAUUAAUAUUGUUAUUAAUAUUAAUAUGGGGGGGGGGGGGGGGGGGGGGG
rnacentral:lncRNA from 1 species